CACGUAGGGUGCGAGCGUUGUCCGGAAUUAUUGGGCGUAAAGAGCUCGUAGGCGGUGUGUCGCGUCGGCCGUGAAAACUUUCAGCUUAACUGGGAGCUUGCGGUCGAUACGGGCAUCACUGGAGUUCGGCAGGGGAGACUGGAAUUCCUGGUGUAGCGGUGAAAUGCGCAGAUAUCAGGAAGAACACCAAUGGCGAAAGCAGCUCUCUGGGACGGUACUGACGCUGAGACGCGAAAGCGUGGGGAGCGAACAGG
rnacentral:rRNA from 1 species